rnacentral:misc_RNA from 1 species
AGCAGCCGCGGUAAUUCCAGCUCCAAUAGCGUAUAUUAAAGUUGUUGCAGUUAAAAAGCUCGUAGUUGAAUUUCGGGAUUGACGUGAUGGUCGUGCCUUACGGGGUAUGAACUGUUGCUGUUGAUUUCUCACCUUCUGGAGAAACUUGAUGUCCUUAAUUGGGUGUCUUGCGGAUCCAGGACCUUUACCUUGAAAAAAUUAGAGUGUUUAAAGCAGGCAUUUUGCUCGAAUACAUUAGCAUGGAAUAAUAGAAUAGGACGGCAUGGUUCUAUUUUGUUGGUUUCUAGGAUCACCGUAAUGAUUAAUAGGGAUAGUUGGGGGCAUUAGUAUUCAAUUGUCAGAGGUGAAAUUCUUGGAUUUAUUGAAGACUAACUACUGCGAAAGCAUUUGCCAAGGAUGUUUUCAUUAAUCAAGAACGAAAGUUAGGGGAUCGAAGACGAUCAGAUACCGUCGUAGUCUUAACCAUAAACUAUGCCGACUAGGA